rnacentral:rRNA from 1 species
GACGAACCGUGCGAACGUUGUUCGGAAUCACUGGGCUUAAAGGGCGCGUAGGCGGGCAUUCAAGUCAGGGGUGAAAUCCCCCAGCUUAACUGGGGAACUGCCUUUGAUACUGGGUGCCUCGAGUAAGGUAGGGGCAUGCGGAACUGAUGGUGGAGCGGUGAAAUGUGUUGAUAUCAUCAGGAACUCCGGUGGCGAAGGCGGCAUGCUGGACCUUCACUGACGCUGAGGCGCGAAAGCUAGGGGAG